AUUGAACGCUGGCGGCAGGCCUAACACAUGCAAGUCGAGCGAGUGGCGGACGGGUGAGUAAUGUCUGGGAACCUGCCUGAUGGAGGGGGCUACCUACUGGAAACGGUAGCUAAUCCCGCAUACCAUCAGAUGUGCCCAGAUUGGAUUAGCUAGUCGGUGGGGUAAUGGCUCACCUAGGCGACGAUCCAUAGCUGGUCUGAGAGGAUGACCAGCCACACUGGAACUGAGAAACGGUCCAGAAUCCUAGGGGAGGCAGCAGUGGGGAAUAUUGAGCAAAGGGCGCAAGCCUGAUGCAGCCAUGAGGGGUGAGUGAAGAAGGCCUUCGGGUUGUAAAGCACUGUCAGCGGGGAGGCGUUACCCGCAGAAGAAGCACCGGCUAACUCCGUGCCAGCAGCCGCGGUAAUUC
rnacentral:rRNA from 1 species